rnacentral:misc_RNA from 1 species
CAAGAAGCCGAAAGGCUGCUUAAAACCAUCGUGAACCUAUCCAUCAGCGUUGCUUCGGCGGGAGGGGGCCGCGGGACCGACGUCUCCCGAGACGCCGGUCCCCGGGGCCCGGGACCCACACCUCUCCGGGGGUGCGGGGCCCGCCCGCCGGAGGUACGAAACUCUCCUACAUCUAUAGUGGAAUCUCUGAGUAAGCAAGCAAAUAAGUCA